rnacentral:rRNA from 1 species
GACGAACGCUGGCGGCGUGCCUAAUACAUGCAAGUUGAGCGCUGAAGGUUGGUACUUGUACCAACUGGAUGAGCAGCGAACGGGUGAGUAACGCGUGGGGAAUCUGCCUUUGAGCGGGGAACAACAUUUGGAAACGAAUGCUAAUACCGCAUAAAAACUUUAAACACAAGUUUUAAGUUUGAAAGAUGCAAUUGCAUCACUCAAAGAUGAUCCCGCGUUGUAUUAGCUAGUUGGUGAGGUAAAGGCUCACCAAGGCGAUGAUACAUAGCCGACCUGAGAGGGUGAUCGGCCACAUUGGGACUGAGACACGGCCCAAACUCCUACGGGAGGCAGCAGUAGGGAAUCUUCGGCAAUGGACGAAAGUCUGACCGAGCAACGCCGCGUGAGUGAAGAAGGUUUUCGGAUCGUAAAACUCUGUUGGUAGAGAAGAACGUUGGUGAGAGUGGAAAGCUCAUCAAGUGACGGUAACUACCCAGAAAGGGACGGCUAACUACGUG